rnacentral:lncRNA from 1 species
CAUGAUUGGUCCCCAAGUUUCCAGACAAAGGGGGAAUGAGAAAUUGAUGUGGCUCCAUUUUUGAAAAUAAAUAAAUAACAGCAGCUUCUACCUCAAGGCCUGUCCUAAGGAAGGGGGCGUGACCCUUGUCCUGGGAAAAACCCACAGAGCACUCCUAGGCACAUACCCACCCUGCUGAGUUGUUUGUCUGCAAAUAACAGGAGAGGUCUGUGGUGCCAGGUGUCCCUGACUCAGUUAGGCUACGUGUGGACCUAUAGUAACCCCUAGCAACCUCCAAUCAGCAUGAGACAGGGAAAAUACCUGGGAUGCCAGGUGACCCCCCAGUAGUUUAUGGUGGUUGAUAACAUGAUGGGAAACCAUGUAGUUUAGCACAUACACCCUCGUGGCCUAAACCAAUCAGUUCAAAGGAAUACCCCUCUUGGAACACCCCUACCCAACUUGUUCCUGCCAGUGAAUGUGCUAAUCAAUGUUAAGAGCUGUUGUUGGAUUUUCCCGCAGUAUGGAAUGAUUUGCUGUGUGAUGUUGUGAAGCAUAGAGUAUCCCCCCAAAACCUAUAAAAUCUCACUGAACUCACUCCCUGGGACUCACUCCCUGGGACCGCUGUGCCAGAAACGGUUGUGAGUCCAGGCUUGAGCUUGCAAUAAAGACUCUUGUGUGAUCGCAUUGGAUUCGGCUCCUGGAGGU